CAUCAGUAAAAAUGACAAAGGUUGUUUGCACACAUAAAUCUUUAGGAAGCCUACAGAUGGGAAUACCAUUCUGAGGGCAGACAGCUUUCACCCCAAAAGGCUAAAAGAGAAUAUUCCAUAUGGCCAAUUCCAAAGAGUCCGCAGAAUUUGCGAUCAGGAAACAGACUAUGUUGUCAAAUCUGCUGAAUUGGAGAAUCGUUUCUUGAAUCGGGGCUACAGCGUCCAGGUCCUGAAAGAUGCAGGUAUAAGGGCUGGAUUACUUGACAGAGAGAACUUGUUGCGAAGGGGAGUGCCUCGUGAUGCAUCAGAGAGAGUGUAUUUUGUUACAAAAUACAGCACUGAAGCAGAGAACAUUAAAAGAAUCAUUAAAAAUAAUUGGGGAAUCAUCCAAAGUGAUACGCUACUACGCCAAGUCUUUCCUGAGCCACCAGUCAUAAGCUUUAAGAGAUGUCCUACCCUAAAGGACAAAUUAGUCCACAGUUAUCUUCCGGGUGACUCUCAAAAAACUUGGCUUGGCCACAAACCCAAGGGCUCUUUUAAAUGUAACCAGUGCAACCAUUGCAGAAAUAUUGCACAGAAAAAGUAUUUUGUUGAUACAGCUUCCAAAAUGGAGUAUUACGUCAAGCAUUUCAUUAACUGCAAAACCACUCAUGUCAUCUAUAGAUUGGAAUGUCCACAGUGCAAGGUGUUCUACAUUGGACGGACAAAGAGACGCCUUCAAGAUCGCCUAGCGGAACACAAGUACGCCAUACGGGUAGGCAAUGAAGACUACCCCAUGGCAAGGCACUACAAGUCCUUACACCAUGGCAACCCUGCCUCCCUACAAGCUAUGGGUAUUAAUCAUAUCCCGGCCUCUAUUAGAAAAGGGGACCGCCUUAAACAGUUAAACCAAAUGGAAAGUUUUUGGAUUUACAAACUACAGGCCACUAAAUACCCGGGUUUAAAUGAAGAUAUGGAUUUCUCACCCUUCCUGUAGGGUUGUGAUGGGUACAUUUGCUGUCAUCUAGUGGAUAUUUUGCUCAAUUGCCCUCAGCUAUGUUUAGACUCUUGUUGUUCAUGUUUUGCUGUGUUCUAGUGUACUAUGGAAUGUAUUGCUUUCUUAUUCUUGACACUUCGCCCAGACAUAUUUAAGGUUAGAACUACCUUUCUAAGUGUUCUGAUACUUCUAGUUUGGAGUUACAUUUUUAUGAUAACAUAGCUACAGCAUUUCACUUUAAAGUGUGUAUACUAUUGCUUACUAGGUGUGUCCAAUCAAUUUUAACCACUCCCCCUUCUAAUUAGGGUUAAUUGGAAAAGCUGUUAAACAGAGAACAUUGUAUUAUUUCUUUGUACACCCUGAUGAAGGCCAUGCAGC
rnacentral:lncRNA from 1 species